UGCUCUGGUGGCCUAGUGGUUAGAGUGCCCACCUUGGAUGCGGGAGGUCAUUAGUUCAAUCUCUAGUUGAGUCAU